rnacentral:rRNA from 1 species
AGAAUCAACGCUGGCGGCGUGCCUAACACAUGCAAGUCGAACGAGAAAGUGGGAGCAAUCCCACGAGUAAAGUGGCGCACGGGUGAGUAACACGUGACUAACCUACCCUUGAGUGGGGGGAUAACCUAGGGAAACCUGGGCUAAUACCGCAUAAUACCUACGGGUCAAAGGAGCAAUUCGCUUAAGGAGGGGGUCGCGGCAGAUUAGUUAGUUGGCGGGGUAAUGGCCCACCAAGACAGUGAUCUGUAUCCGGCCUGAGAGGGCGCACGGACACACUGGAACUGAAACACGGUCCAGACUCCUACGGGAGGCAGCAGUGGGGAAUUUGCGCAAUGGGGGAAACCCUGACGCAGCAACGCCGCGUGGAGGAUGAAGCCCCUUGGGGCGUAAACUCCUUUCGAUCGGGAAGAUAAUGACGGUACCGGAAGAAGAAGCCCGGCUAACUUCGCGCCAGCAGCCC